rnacentral:misc_RNA from 1 species
CAAUUUUCAUCCAUCAGCAAGUGCUUCGCUGGACUCGAAUUUUCUUCACAGCACCAACAAUGCUACUCUCCGCCAUUGGUCUGCAGACUCCUCUCUCUAACCCCAAUCACGCUUCCACUGCCACUGCUUCUACCUCUGCAAACCCUCUGUUCUCCUCCGCUAAUUCCCUGAAACCGCACCCUUCCAGCACCGCCACCACCACCACCACCGGCACCACCACCGGCGCCGCUAAGCCCACCGCCAAUAGAGUCACGCAGUUAAACUUCGAAAACGCAUCUCCUCAAUCAAUUUCCGAAAUUAAGCUUUUGAAAAGCAAUAUCGAUUUCAAAUGCUCCAAAAAUUUCAACUCCAGUUUCAACCCUAGAAAACCAGAGUCCGUAGAAGAAACUAACUGUAGCAGCAGCGGCAUGACCACCGACGAAGAACAACACCAGCACCACCAUCACCAAGAAGAAAGAAAAAGCAGCCAUGAAAAUAAAGAAAUUAAUUUGGAGUUAACCAUAGGGCUAGCUCCAAUUCGGAGUGAGUUGACUCCGACAUCGUCUUCCAACUUAGCCGACGCCGAGUCGAAGUUACAACAGCAAGCUCCAUACCAGAUUCUUGAAAAAGUGGUAACUCGGGGGGUUUGUACUUGUUGCCAAUUGGGUUCACAGAGAAGUGAAUUGUGUAGCAAUUGCCAGAAUUCAAAUGGGUUCUAUAGAUAUUACUGAAGAUUAACAGCUAAAAAUUUCAAAUUUUUUUGUUUUAUUUGUUGGGAGUUGUGGUUAGAUUGGAGCAAUUGAAUGCUGGACACCAACUUUCACCUGCCAGUUUCAGUGUAAUCAAAGGGGAAAUUAAUGAAAGAUCGGUAAUGAUGUGAUGACAAGUUAGAUGAAUUCAAAGUUACCCUCUGCAGAAAGGAUUAAAUUCUGUUUUUGGAUUCUUUCUCAUGGAUGCUUUUUUGUGAUCAUUCAAUUUUGGCAUUCCCUCUAAGGGAAUAUAUUAAAAAAAAAAGUUUCUGCUCUGUUUGAACUAAC